rnacentral:rRNA from 1 species
UACGUAGGGGGCUAGCGUUGCUCGGAAUCACUGGGCGUAAAGGGUGCGUAGGCGGGUUUUUAAGUCAGGGGUGAAAUCCUGGAGCUCAAUUCCAGAACUGCCUUUGAUACUGAAGAUCUUGAGUCCGGGAGAGGUGAGUGGAACUGCGAGUGUAGAGGUGAAAUUCGUAGAUAUUCGCAAGAACACCAGUGGCGAAGGCGGCUCACUGGCCCGGUACUGACGCUGAGGCACGAAAGCCAGGGGAGCAAACGGG